CGUCUAUAUACGUAUAGCAUAUCAAUAAGCGGAGGAAAAGAAACUAACUAGGAUUCCCUCAGUAACGGCGAGUGAAGCGGGAAGAGCUCAAAUUUGAAAUCUUCAAGGUUUUACCUUGACGAAUUGUAGUUUAAAGAAGUGUUUUCUGUUGGAAGUUUUGGUAAAAGUUCUUUGGAAUAGGACAUCAUAGAGGGUGAGAAUCCCGUAUUUGACCAGUUACUUUCCAGCGUUGUGAUACACUUUCAAAGAGUCGGAUUGUUUGGGAAUGCAGUCCAAAAUGGGUGGUAAAUUUCAUCUAAAGCUAAAUAUUGGCGAGAGACCGAUAGCGAACAAGUACCGUGAGGGAAAGAUGAAAAGAACUUUGAAAAGAGAGUUAAACAGUACGUGAAAUUGUCAAAAGGGAAGCGUUUGACACCAGUGUUGUUUUCUCGAAAAUCAAUUAAAAAAGGCUGGAUUUUGUGUUGUAUUGACUUUAUCAGCUUUCUGCACUCUUUUCUUGUCUUUUUUAAUGCACUUUUCGUUUAACAAGUCAACAUCAAUUUCUUUUGUUGUAAAAGGGUCAUUGGAAGGUGGCUUUCUUUUCGGAGAAAGUGUUUAUAGCCUUUGGCCUCUGCAAUCGGAGAGAUUGAGGUCUGCAGCGUAGAUCCUUCGGGGUUAGAUACAUUUGUGCUAAGUUAUAGCCUUUCAUAGACAACUUGUUGACUAUGAUCAGUCAUGUAGCUUACUCGCUUAUGCUAUUUUACCUACGCUUAGGAUGUUGAAGUCAUCGUAUCGCGC
rnacentral:rRNA from 1 species